rnacentral:rRNA from 1 species
GAGGUAAUGGCUCACCAAGGCGACGAUCCGUAACUGGUCUGAGAGGAUGAUCAGUCACACUGGAACUGAGACACGGUCCAGACUCCUACGGGAGGCAGCAGUGGGGAAUAUUGGACAAUGGGCGAAAGCCUGAUCCAGCCAUGCCGCGUGUGUGAAGAAGGUCUUCGGAUUGUAAAGCACUUUAAGUUGGGAGGAAGGGUAGUAACCUAAUACGUUGCUACUUUGACGUUACCGACAGAAUAAGCACCGGCUAACUUCGUG